GUCGUUCAGCUCGUGUUGCGAAAUGUCCGGUUAAGUCCGGCAACGAGCGAGACCCCCACCCCUAGUUGGUAUCCCGGUUUCCGAACCGGGACCACACUAGGGGGACUGCCGGCGUAAGCCGGAGGAAGGAGGGGGCCACGGCAGGUCAGCAUGCCCCGAAACCCCCGGGCCGCACGCGGGUUACAAUGGCAGGGACAGCGGGAUGCUACCCCGAGAGGGGGAGCCAAUCCCUCAAACCCUGCCGCAGUUGGGAUCGAGGGCUGAAACUCGCCCUCGUGAACGAGAAUCCC
rnacentral:rRNA from 1 species